rnacentral:tRNA from 1 species
GGAUUGUAGCUCAGUGGUAAAGCACUUGCCUAGCAUGUGUGAGGCACUGGGUUUGAUCCUCAGCACCA